rnacentral:misc_RNA from 1 species
UUUAGGGAGACCUACACCCCUCAGAAAUCGAAAACACACAGUGAAUAGAAACUGAGUUGGUCUAACCUAGGUCGUUCGAGAUUGGUAAAAGCUUUCAAAAUAUUUUGGGUUCAGUUGAUAAAUAGUUAAAGUCUAAUUGAUUAGUGGGAAAAAAGUUCAGCAACAUGGCUAGAACAAGCCAGACUGCUGGGUGAAAGUCCAGCCAGAACCUUGAAAACUGCAUAAGUAACGCGAAAAAAGCAGGCAGACACAGACAUUCAAGAAGUGAAAGUGUUUGCAGUGGAAAACCAAUUGUAUUGU